GGGGGUGUAGCUCAGUUGGGAGAGCACUUGCUUUGCACGCAAGGGGUCGCAGGUUCAACUCCUGUCAUCUCCACCA
rnacentral:tRNA from 3 species